UACAGAGGUCCCAAGCGUUGUUCGGAUUCAUUGGGCGUAAAGGGUGCGUAGGCGGCGCGGUAAGUCGGGUGUGAAAUCUCGGGGCUUAACUCCGAAACUGCAUUCGAUACUGCCGUGCUUGAGGACUGGAGAGGAGACUGGAAUUUACGGUGUAGCGGUGAAAUGCGUAGAUAUUCGCAAGAACACCAGUGGCGAAGGCGGCUCACUGGCCCGGUACUGACGCUGAGGUGCGAAAGCGUGGGGAGCAAACAGG
rnacentral:rRNA from 1 species